GAGUUUGAUCCUGGCUCAGGAUGAACGCUGACAGAAUGCUUAACACAUGCAAGUCUUUGGCGAAGCUGUGCUUGCACAGCCUAGCCAAGGCGGACGGGUGAGUAACGCGUAAGGGACUUGCCCUGCAGUCAGGGAUAACAGACGGAAACGACUGAUAAGACCUGGUAAAGUCAGGCGGACUCAUGUCCAGCCUGAUGAAAAGGAAUGCUGCAGGAGAGCCUUGCGUCCUAUUAGCUUGUUGGUGGGGUAACGGCCCACCAAGGCGAUGAUAGGUAGCCGGCCUGAGAGGGUGGACGGCCACAAGGGGACUGAGAUACGGCCCUUACUCCUACGGGAGGCAGCAGUGGGGAAUAUUGGACAAUGGGGGCAACCCUGAUCCAGCAAUUCUGUGUGCACGAAGAAGGUUUUCGGAUUGUAAAGUGCUUUCAGCAGGGAAGAAGGAAGUGACGGUACCUGCAGAAGAAGCGACGGCUAAAUACGUGCCAGCAGCCGCGGUAAUACGUAUGUCGCAAGCGUUAUCCGGAAUUAUUGGGCAUAAAGGGCAUCUAGGCGGCCAGACAAGUCUGGGGUGAAAACUUGCGGCUCAACCGCAAGCCUGCCCUGGAAACUGCCUGGCUAGAGUGCUGGAGAGGUGGACGGAACUGCACGAGUAGAGGUGAAAUUCGUAGAUAUGUGCAGGAAUGCCGAUGAUGAAGAUAGUUCACUGGACGGCAACUGACGCUGAAGUGCGAAAGCUAGGGGAGCAAACAGGAUUAGAUACCCUGGUAGUCCUAGCUGUAAACGAUGAUUACUGGGUGUGGGCAUGAAGAGUGUCCGUGCCGAAGCUAAUGCGAUAAGUAAUCCGCCUGGGGAGUACGGCCGCAAGGCUGAAACUCAAAGGAAUUGACGGGGACCCG
rnacentral:rRNA from 1 species